AUUGAACGCUAGCGGGAUGCCUUACACAUGCAAGUCGAACGGAGUGGCGAACGGGUGAGUAAUGUCUCGGAACGUGCCCGGUAGCGGGGGAUAACUACGCGAAAGGGUAGCUAAUACCGCAUACUAUUGGAGCGGCCUAUAUCGGAUUAGCUAGUUGGUGGGGUAACGGCUCACCAAGGCGACGAUCCGUAGCUGGUUUGAGAGGAUGAUCAGCCACACUGGAACUGAGACACGGCCCAGACUCCUACGGGAGGCAGCAGUGGGGAAUAUUGGACAAUGGGGGAAAGCCUGAUCCAGCCAUCCCGCGUGUGGGAAGAAGGCCUUCGGGUUGUAAAGCACUUUUGGCAGGGAAGCGGUACCUGCAGAAUAAGCACCGGCUAACUACGUGCCAGCAGCCGCGGUAAUAC
rnacentral:rRNA from 1 species